AACGCGAAGAACCUUACCUGGGCUCGAAAUGUAGAGGACGACAUCAGAGAUGAUGUUUCUCGAAAGGGUCUCUAUAUAGGUGCUGCAUGGCUGUCGUCAGCUCGUGCCGUGAGGUGUUUGGUUAAGUCCAGCAACGAGCGCAACCCUUAUCGUUAGUUGCCAACACGUAAUGGUGGGAACUCUAACGAGACUGCCUGGGUUAACCAGGAGGAAGGUGAGGAUGACGUCAAGUCCGCAUGGCCUUUAUGUCCAGGGCUACACACGUGCUACAAUGGUCGGUACAGAAGGCAGCGAAACCGCAAGGUGAAGCAAAUCCCGAAAAACCGAUCUCAGUUCAGAUUGUAGUCUGCAACUCGGCUACAUGAAGUUGGAAUUGCUAGUAAUGGCGUGUCAGCAACAACGCCGUGAAUACGUUCCCGGGCCUUGUACACACCGUACGUC
rnacentral:rRNA from 1 species